rnacentral:rRNA from 1 species
UACGAAGGGGGCUAGCGUUGCUCGGAAUCACUGGGCGUAAAGGGUGCGUAGGCGGGUCUUUAAGUCAGGGGUGAAAUCCUGGAGCUCAACUCCAGAACUGCCUUUGAUACUGAAGAUCUUGAGUUCGGGAGAGGUGAGUGGAACUGCGAGUGUAGAGGUGAAAUUCGUAGAUAUUGCAAGAACACCAGUGGCGAAGGCGGACUCACU